UACGUAGGGGGGCAAGCGUUGUCCGGAAUUAUUGGGCGUAAAGAGCGUGUAGGCGGUCCGGUAAGUCAGCUGUGAAAGUCAAGGGCUCAACCCUUGAAUGCCGGUUGAUACUGUCGGGCUAGAGUCCGGAAGAGGCGAGUGGAAUUCCCGGUGUAGCGGUGAAAUGCGCAGAUAUCGGGAGGAACACCAAUGGCGAAGGCAGCUCGCUGGGACGGUACUGACGCUGAGACGCGAAAGCGUGGGGAGCA
rnacentral:rRNA from 1 species